UCAGCUCAGGCGAGGACUAUUACUGAUGGGCUGACGAGCCGACUGGACAUCAUGUCUGCUGAGAUCAGUGAUCUGAGGCAGCAGAUAGGAGCACUCCGGAGAGAGAGAGAGACACAUGGACCAUCUGUGCCACAGGCUGCUGAGUCAGAGAUAUCGGCACAGAGUCAUCCAGCUCGUCGUGCUCCACGCCAGACACAGUCUCACCAGGCUCGACCUCCCCUCGCCACGUAUGCUAGGAGGAUGAGGACUAGAUCCCAGCCAUUAGAUUCUCCCUAGGCUAAUCUUAGCGUCUAUGUUUAGAGCCUAGGCUAGAUAUCUAGUUCUCACAUGUAUCUUGCUUUUCUCCUAUGUAUCUUGUUUUUAUCUUAUGUAUCUUUAAAUCUUGAUUAAGGAACAUUGUAUCUGUCUUUAUUUUUGACAUGAAUGUAUGAAAAUGUUCCUAUUUUGAUCAAUGAAGUUUGAAGUUUAUUAUUUAUUGCAUCUUUUCCCAAAUAUAUAUAUUUUUGAUGAUAACAAAAAGGGGGAGAAGAAAAGAAAGAGUAUUUAAGAAAAGAAAGAGUAUUCAAU
rnacentral:lncRNA from 1 species